rnacentral:lncRNA from 1 species
GGUGAUGAAGCACGUACACCAGAUGGUAAAAACGAAAAUGAUGGAAACCGCUAUAUAUUGACUGAGCUUCGCCUUGUCUCUCACAUUCUGCUUGAAGACCUUCCGCCAUGCUGAUGUUCGUUUUCUUCUGCUGCCUCCUCCUCUCGUUUGGAAGUGUGAGCAUGAAAUAUCACACAACGUGUAGUGAGGCAUCGGGAUUUUGUACGCCACCUCCCUGCCCAUCGUAUUUGUUUAGGGUACCCGAUACUAAGUGUGAACCCACAGUAUGCUGUAGACAUGGGAUUUAAGUUAGAAACCGAGAAGACCACUACGAGGUUGAAUAUCCUGAGAUCGAUGUCUUCCUCUCUGAGACUGGAACAUUUCUCUGCUCCUUUAUAACUGAGAACUCUUUCAUCCACUUCAAUGUUCGCCAUUUAUAAUAUGUCUUGGCUCUUUCUUAUCUGUAAUCAGUCUGGAGUGUCCUACUCCUGAGUAAAGUAUUCUUUCUA